UGGGGAAUUUUGGACAAUGGGGGAAACCCUGAUCCAGCCAUCCCGCGUGUGCGAUGAAGGCCUUCGGGUUGUAAAGCACUUUUGGCAGGAAAGAAACGUCGCGGGUUAAUACCCCGCGAAACUGACGGUACCUGCAGAAUAAGCACCGGCUAACUACGUGCCAGCAGCCGCGGUAAUACGUAGGGUGCAAGCGUUAAUCGGAAUUACUGGGCGUAAAGCGUGCGCAGGCGGUUCGGAAAGAAAGAUGUGAAAUCCCAGAGCUUAACUUUGGAACUGCAUUUUUAACUACCGGGCUAGAGUGUGUCAGAGGGAGGUGGAAUUCCGCGUGUAGCAGUGAAAUGCGUAGAUAUGCGGAGGAACACCGAUGGCGAAGGCAGCCUCCUGGGAUAACACUGACGCUCAUGCACGAAAGCGUGGGGAGCAAACAGGAUUAGAUACCCUGGUAGUCCACGCCCUAAACGAUGUCAACUAGCUGUUGGGGCCUUCGGGCCUUGGUAGCGCAGCUAACGCGUGAAGUUGACCGCCUGGGGAGUACGGUCGCAAGAUUAAAAACUCAAAUGAAUUG
rnacentral:rRNA from 1 species